rnacentral:rRNA from 1 species
UGGAUGAGCCUCCGGCCUAUCAGCUUGUUGGUGGGGUAAUGGCCUACCAAGCGGCGACGGGUAUCCGGCCUGAGAGGGUGUACGGACACAUUGGGACUGAGAUACGGCCCAGACUCCUACGGGAGGCAGCAGUGGGGAAUAUUGCACAAUGGGCGCAAGCCUGAUGCAGCGACGCCGCGUGGGGGAUGACGGCCUUCGGGUUGUAAACUCCUUUCGCUAUCGACGAAGCCACCUUUGGUGGUGACGGUAGGUAGAUAAGAAGCACCGGCUAACUACGUGCCAGCAGCCGCGGUAAUACGUAGGGUGCAAGCGUUGUCCGGAAUUACUGGGCGUAAAGAGCUCGUAGGUGGUUUGUCGCGUCGUCUGUGAAAUCCCGGGGCUUAACUUCGGGCGUGCAGGCGAUACGGGCAUAACUUGAGUGCUGUAGGGGAGACUGGAAUUCCUGGUGUAGCGGUGAAAUGCGCAGAUAUCAGGAGGAACACCGAUGGCGAAGGCAGGUCUCUGGGCAGUAACUGACGCUGAGGAGCGAAAGCAUGGGUAGCGAACAGGAUUAGAUACCCUGGUAGUCCAUGCCGUAAACGGUGGGCGCUAGGUGUAGGGGGCUUCCACGUCUUCUGUGCCGUAGCUAACGCAUUAAGCGCCCCGCCUGGGGAGUACGGCCGCAAGGCUAAAACUCAAAGGAAUUGACGGGGGCCCGCACAAGCGGUA